UACGGAGGGGGCUAGCGUUGUUCGGAAUCACUGGGCGUAAAGGGCGCGUAGGCGGCCUGAUAAGUCGGGGGUGAAAGCCUGUGGCUCAACCACAGAAUUGCCUUCGAUACUGUCGGGCUUGAGACCGGAAGAGGUAAGUGGAACUGCGAGUGUAGAGGUGAAAUUCGUAGAUAUUCGCAAGAACACCAGUGGCGAAGGCGGCUUACUGGUCCGGUUCUGACGCUGAGGCGCGAAAGCGUGGGGAGCAAACAGG
rnacentral:rRNA from 1 species